CCUACGGGUGGCAGCAGUGGGGGAUAUUGCACAAUGGGGGAAACCCUGAUGCAGCGACGCCGCGUGUAGGAAGACGGUCCUCUGGAUUGUAAACUACUGUUCCCAGGGACGAAGAUGACGCUACCUGGGGAGGAAGCUCCGGCUAACUACGUGCCAGAAGGCGCGGUAAUACGGAGGGAGCGAGCGUUUUCCGGAAUUACUGGGUGUAACGGGAGCGUAGGCGGGGAUGAAAGGUGGGUGUAAAAUCUACGGGCUAAACUGGUAGUCGCACUCGAAACUGCAGCUCUUGAGUGAAGUAGAGGCAGGCGGAAUUCCUAGUGUAGCGGUGAAAUGCGUAGAUAGUAGGAGGAACACCAGUUGCGAAGGCGGCCUGCUGGGCUUUUACUGACGCUGAGGCUCGAAAGUGUGGGGAGCAAACAGGAUUAGAUACCCCGGUAGUC
rnacentral:rRNA from 1 species